rfam:Xenorhabdus doucetiae str. FRM16 chromosome, complete genome.
UCUGGCGGCAAUAGCGCGGUGGUCCCACCUGACCCCAUGCCGAACUCAGCAGUGAAACACCGUUGCGCCGAUGGUAGUGUGGGGCCUCCCCAUGCGAGAGUAGGGCACUGCCAGAU